rnacentral:rRNA from 1 species
GACGAACGCUGGCGGCGGGCUUAACACAUGCAAGUCGAACGGAAAGGCUCCAGCUUGCUGGAGUAUUCGAGUGGCGAACGGGUGAGUAACAUGUGGGUGAUCUGCCCUGCACUUCGGGAUAAGCCUGGGAAACUGGGACUAAUACCGGAGAGGAGCGCACUAUGGUGUGUGUGGUUGAAAGGUUUUGCUGGCGUGGGAUGAGCUCGCGGCGUAUCAGUUUGUUGGUGGGGUAAUCGGCUACCAAGACGGCGACGGGUAGCCGGCCGGAGAGGGUGGAAGGUCACAUUGGGACUGAGGUGCGGCCCAGACUGCUACGGGAGGAAGCAGGGGGGAAGAUUGAACAAUGGGGGAAGCCCUGAUGCAGAGACGCUGCGGGGGGGAUGAAGGCCUUAGGGUUGUGAACUCCUUUCACUAGGGACGAAGCUUUUUGUGACGGUACCUGGAGAAGAAGCACCGGCUAACUACGUG